GAUUGGAAUGCCGCGGCACCAGGCUAGGUUGGAGCCUCCCUCGGCCGCUGCUGGGAUGGUCCACGCACUGGCGCCGUCACGUGUUUCUCUCCUUGGAGUGAGACUGAGUCUCGGCGGCGGCUGGAGGGGGCCGGACUCAUAAACACAGACACCGCCGCUUGUUUGGGUUUGGGGCGCUCGGAAACUCCGAGGAGCAGCCGGAGGAGGAGAAGUCAGCCAGGCAGCCCCAGACCCGCCUUCAGCCUGGGGCACAGGAGGGGGCUUUGCUGCUGGCCUCGGCGCCUUUCCCGACUGGAAUGAGGAGGAGGAGGAAGAGAGGAUGUUCCUUCCCCACUUGGGCUGCUUCCCCUCCUGCUGCUGCCUGGUUGCAUUUUGUGUUGAAAUGGCACUUUCUCUUCCUAACGAGAUGGGACUGAAUGGGGUCGCCAGCCUCCUCACGCAUAAGCAGCAGCGGCCACAGCGCUGAUUUUUGGGCUGGGCUGUGUUUUAGGGGGGGAGAAGAGGCGUGUGUUUUGGGGUGUAAGCCCCGGACUUUGCAAAACAAACCGCUACCCAGAGGAUCUUUGAUCUGCUACAGAGAUUGAGAUUGCGCUCGCUGAGGCGAAGUUGUGAAGGGGAGGGGUGUUUUGGAGCGAAGCAAGGGGGACCCCCUUCCUGCUCCUCUCUACAGAGGAAUCCGACCCAUACGACUGAAAGAUGCGUUUCUUCUCCUCCCCGGCGGCGGCUGCUGGGAGACCUAGACUUUCAUCUGGACUGACUGGGACUGGACUUUUUAAGGAUAUAUUGACCCACCUAAGGGUGAUUUGGGCAUAAACAGCAAUAUAAAGGCUGCUGUGGUGCUGGAAGCUGCCUCUGCCACUGAACAGCUGCUCUCACCCUGCCAGUAUCCCCUCCCCCCAUCCCGUUUUGGAGAGGGGAUUCCGAGCUAGUUUGCUUUUUUAUUGUGAUUGUUGUUGCAUGAAUUGUAUUUUAAGAGGUUUUUUUUCCUGCAUUGCUUGGCAGUUUUGGGGGCCUGUGGGCUGAUAGCUGCCAUAAAAGCACCACCACCUCUCCUUCCACCAUGGCUAGCCCCACGGAUAAUAAUGAGGGCUUCUUCUCAGAUGUCAGGAAGGUGGGUUACUUGCGCAAACCCAAAAGCAUGCAUAAACGCUUCUUCGUGCUGAGGGCAGCCAGCGAGUCAGGACCUGCCCGGCUGGAGUACUAUGAGAAUGAGAAGAAAUGGAGACAUAAGUCAGGAGCCCCCAAGCGUUCCAUCCCACUGGAGAGCUGCUUCAACAUCAAUAAACGGGCAGACUCCAAGAACAAGCACCUAGUGGCCCUCUAUACCAAGGAUGAGCACUUUGCCAUUGCAGCUGACAGUGAGCUUGAGCAGGAGAGCUGGUACCAAGCCUUGCUGCAGUUGCACAAUCGGGCCAAGGGCCACCACCACCUCCAUCAUCACCGCCACCACCACCACCACCACCACAGUGAUGUCUCUUUUGGGGGUGGCAGUGCAGGACUGGGGGAGGCAGGUGAUGAUAGCUAUGGCGAGGUGGUCCCUGGCCCAGCUUUCAAGGAGGUUUGGCAAGUGAUCCUGAAACCUAAAGGUCUGGGCCAGACGAAGAACCUGAUCGGCAUAUACCGCCUGUGCCUGACCAACAAAACCAUCAGCUUUGUGAAGCUGAACUCGGAUGCAGCUGCUGUGGUACUGCAGCUGCUCAACAUCCGCCGCUGUGGCCAUUCAGAGAACUUCUUUUUCAUUGAGGUGGGGCGCUCUGCAGUGACUGGGCCUGGUGAGUUCUGGAUGCAGGUGGAUGAUUCGGUGGUGGCACAGAACAUGCAUGAGACCAUCCUGGAGGCCAUGCGGGCCAUGAGUGAGGAAUUCCGGCCCCGCAGCAAGAGCCAGUCCUCCUCCAACUGCUCCAAUCCCAUCUCUGUGCCCCUCCGCAGCAGACACCAUGUCAACAAUCCCCCACCCAGCCAGGUGGGGCUCAGUCGCAGGUCCAGGACUGAGAGCGUGACUGCUACCUCCCCUGCUGGGGGUGGUGGAGGAGGAACAGGGGGCAAACCCAGCUCUUUCCGAGUCAGAGCCUCUAGUGAUGGGGAAGGAACUAUGUCCAGGCCUGCCUCUGUGGAUGGUAGCCCAGUAAGUCCCAGUGCCAACCGGACCCAUUCACAUCGGCACCGUGGCAACUCCAGGCUUCACCCUCCACUCAACCACAGUCGCUCCAUCCCAAUGCCUUCUUCACGCUGUUCCCCCUCAGCCACCAGCCCAGUCAGCCUGUCAUCCAGCAGCACCAGUGGCCAUGGCUCCACCUCAGACUGCCUCUUCCCACGCAGGUCCAGCGCUUCUGUAUCAGGCUCCCCCAGUGAUGGUGGUUUCAUCUCCUCUGACGAAUAUGGCUCCAGCCCCUGCGAUUUCCGCAGCUCUUUUCGCAGUGUAACUCCAGACUCUCUGGGUCACACACCGCCAGCACGGGGUGAUGAGGAGCUCAACAACUACAUCUGUAUGGGGGGCAAGGCUGCCUCAUCCUGCAGCUUGGCGGCUCCCAAUGGCCACUUCAUCCCUCGCAGUUGCCACCCACAGCAUCAGCAGUGCCGCUAUCCUGGCACCCCAUGCUGCCCCCGGAGUGGUGGAGAGGAGGUAACUGACCUGGAGAAGGGCUUCAGGAAGCGGACUCACUCUGCAGGCACCUCACCCACCAUCUCCCACCAGAAGACACCCUCACAGUCUUCGGUGGCCUCCAUUGAGGAAUACACGGAAAUGCUGCCUUCCUACCCUUGUGGUGGCAACCGGCUGCCUUCCUACCGGCACUCUGCCUUUGUGCCCACUCAUUCCUAUCCUGAGGAGCAUUUGGAGAUGCACCAUCUGGAGGGCAGCCACCACCGGACCAACCCCACCCCACACACUGAUGAUGGCUACAUGCCGAUGUCACCUGGGGUGGCCCCUGUGCCCAGCAGUGGUGGCGCUCCCAAAGGCGGUGACUAUAUGCCCAUGAGCCCCAAGAGCGUGUCAGCCCCGCAGCAGAUCAUCAACCCUGGCCGGGGAGGUCGCCACACCCAAGCCAUGGUGGACUCCAAUGGGUACAUGAUGAUGUCCCCUAGUGGCAGCUGUUCACCUGACGGUGGUCCCACCGGCUAUGGCAAAAUAUGGACGAACGGGGCUGGCCACCACCCAAAGCUCUCGGUGGACAGCAGCGAAGGGAAGCUCCCCUGCAGCGGCAGUGACUACAUCAACAUGUCCCCAGCCAGCGGCUCCGCCACCAGCACCCCCCCGGACUGCUAUUUCGCCAGUUCGGGGCCGCCGGGCGCGGAGGAGGGCUCGGCGCAGGGCCCGGCCCAGCCCCCACACAAGCCCAUCUACUCCUACUUCUCCCUGCCGCGCUCCUUCAAACACGUGCAGCGCAGGGCAGCCGAGGAGAGCGGCCCUCAGCUGCGCAUCUCCCUCAGCUCCGGCCGCUUGCUCUACGCCGCGGAGGACUCGUCCUCUUCCACCAGCAGCGACAGCCUCGGGGGAGGCGGGGGCCAAGAGGGCGCCGGCGGUCCCUACCAGGCGCAGCCCCCGCCGCCGCAGCCUACCCGUCAGGCGGCCGCGCAGAGCCGGAGCCGCCUGACCAGACCCACCCGCUUGUCUCUGGACGGCCCCAAGGCCAGCACCCUGCCGCGGGCGCGGGAGCAGCCCCCGCUGCUGCUGCCGCCGGAGCCCAAGAGCCCCGGCGAGUACGUGAACAUUGAGUUCGUGGCCAGUGACAAGCCGGCUUUCCCGUCGGCCGCGCGGCCCCGAGGGGACGAAGUCUCCGAGUACAUGAACAUGGAGCCGGGCCCGCCGCGGGCUGCCUGCCAAGCCGGCUUCGCGGCCGUACGGGCGGCAGCUGCGGCCCGGCCCGGCCGAGGAGCUGCUGCCCUCAGCAGCCGGGACUAUGUGACUAUGGAACAGGGGGGCGGUGUCGGGGGGCCCUGCCCGGGCUGCGGCGACCCCCCGCCCCCCGCCCUCUUGCUCAACUACGCCGACAUGCGGACGGGCCGCGCCGCUCCGGAGAACCCCCCCGCCGCCCCUGCCUCCGCCCAGGCGCAGCCGCCGGCCGAGCUGGCAGCGGCGCCACCGCGCUCCUCCUCCCUGAUAGGAGGCCCGGGGGUGAACAGCGCCUUCACCCGCGUCAGCCUCAGCCCCGGCCGCAACCAGAGCGCCAAAGUGAUCCGCGCCGACCCGCAGGGGGGCCGCCGGCGGCACAGCUCCGAGACCUUCUCCUCCACCCCCAGCACCGCCCGCGGCACGGCGGGCAGCGGCGGCCUCAACGCGCCCUUGCUCUACGGGGCGGGGGGCGCCGAGGAGGUGAAACGCCACAGCUCGGCGUCCUUCGAGAACGUCUGGCUCCGGCCUGCCGCGGGGGAGCUGGGGCCGGCCGCCAGGAGGGAGCAGCAGCCCCUCGGGGCCGGGGGUGGCUUUGAGAACGGACUCAACUACAUCGACCUGGACUUAGUGAAGGAUUUUAAUCAGCGUCGCCAACGCCCCCAGGAGGGCACCUCUGUGCCGGGGGGGAGGCAGCCGCCGCCCAAAGCCCCUAAUCAGCCUUGUGGGAGUAGCCACUCUAGCGACGAUUUGAGUGCAUAUGCCAGCAUCAGCUUCCAGAGGCGGGAGGACGUCUAAUAGCUGGGCGGGAGCCAGAGAGAAGGUUGACGUUCCUCCAUGACCGUGAUUGGAGGAAGCUAGCGCUGUCAUUCUGUGGGACUGGGAUGAAAGAACCACUUAAUGACUUCCUGCUCCAAAGUGCUCUGCUUCCAAGCUGACAGUGCAUGACAGGAGCUAUCUUAUAGUAUUCUUAUGAAGGGAAGGAGGAGCAAACAGGCACAUAAAGAUGAUGCCUCGAGUCUGCUGCUGAGAAAAAUGAUGACCUAUACAACCUCAGCAAAUCCUUCUUUUUACUCAUGGGUAUCCAGACUAUAAAUGUUACAUGAAUCACAACUAGGACCUCACAUCCUCCUCCUCGUCCAUAGAUGGGUACGAUGCAUCCAGUUCAGUUUGUUUACUUUACACAAACCUCAGGAGUUAGUUGACUGAACUGCACAUUCUGUGUUGUGCCAAGCAAAAGCACUGUGACACCUGGACAAUGAGUCUCUAUUACUUCAUCCUCUACCAUAAGGACUUAGCUGGACACAGUGAACUGAUGUGCCCACCACUAUGUCAUGGUGAGAAUGGGAAUUGUACUAGCACAUUUACGUGAUACAUUACAUUUCAUUUGCUGCUGAAAACCUGUAUGACAAAUCAUCAUUGUAAAUUAUUACAUACAAAACUGUUAAUGUUGGUUGAAGAGUAUUAAAUAUUUAACAUAGGUUUUGAUUUAUACAUGUACUUUUUUAAUUAAAAUGUAACUUUUCCUACAGCACAUCUUUUUUGAUGUGGAACUGAGGUAUACUAUAUUCUGUUGUAAACAGAGUGGGGAACCUGCUUAAAACAAGGCUAAUAAGAAUAGAGUAGGGUACUAUUCUUGUUUUAAGAUUGUAAUUCAGAAAAUAAUAUAAUAUGAAUCAUUGGCCCCUGGGCCUUGAUUGUACAGUCAUAUUUACUGAUACUAUCAGUUGUAAGAUAACCCUGAUGUUGAGCUAAAUUCUUUCCAAAAGAAAAAAUAAUAAUUUUGUACUCCUCUUGUAAAAUAGGCUGUAUUAACUCAAAUGAAGAUAAACUUACUGUAGAUGGUAUUUACAAGUGUCAACUUGAACUCAUCUAUUGCACAGAAACUUACAAAAAGCAGAAAAAAGAAAUCAAAGUCUUCCAUUGUGUAUAUAUUAGGAGAAAAAAGGAAAAAAAAGAACCAUGGGUGAAGUCUUCAAAUCAAAACUCUUCCUGGAAUGAAAUAUGUGGGUGUUUGUAAAUUCUGGAAAUCUUUCUAUACGUAAUAAACUAGAUACUGUUUUAUCUGCUUA